CCCUUAGAUGUUCUGGGCCGCACGCGCGCUACACUGAUGCAUUCAACAAGCCUAGCCUUGACCGAGAGGUCCGGGUAAUCUUUGAAACUGCAUCGUGAUGGGGCUAGAUUAUUGCAAUUAUUAAUCUUCAACGAGGAAUGCCUAGUAAGCGUGAUUCAUCAAAUCGCGUUGAUUACGUCCCUGCCCUUUGUACACACCGCUCGUCGCUCCUACCGAUUGAAUGUGUUGGUGAGGAGCUCGGAUUGGCAGCAGUUGGUGGUUCGCCACCGGCUAUUGCUGAGAAGUCCUCCAAACCGCCCCAUUUAGAGGAAGGAGAAGUCGUAACA
rnacentral:rRNA from 1 species